CGGUGGGUGGGCGUGUCCAUGACGUCACCCUCGAGCUCUCCUCAACGCUCACAGCUGUGGUUUCUACGGAGCGGAGCUUGAAAUCAGACGCGCCGAGCGAGACGCAGCGCUAUCCGGGGGAUUUAAACCGCUAUUCGCCGCCGCCCGCCACCGGAGCUCUCUCUAUCGCCUUGGAUCUGCUCUCUCCUUGGAUUAUUAUCGUCCUUUAUCCCUUCCACGAAGAUGUAAGGAGGUUUUUUCCCGUGCAGAAUAACGGAGAACACGGGGACGCGCUCGUUAAAACCAGGUUCAACUGAGGCAGCCAAAGAAAACGCCACUAAAAACAGCCGAAGAAUGAGGCAGAAGGAAUAUUAAAAACAGCAGAGAGGCUGAAGCAGAUACAGUACGUGCUGAUGAGUUCCUUGCGGUGGCAGGCGGUGUAACGACCCUCUGACCUGCUGGGUAAACAACCAGAGAGUAUCUGACUCCAAAUAAGGCCAACACAUCCACAGCACAGAGCAGUGGCAACCUGCCAUCCUCCACACACACACACACACACACACACACACACACACACACACACACACACACACACAUUACUGUCUUUCUGAAGCCCGCCUGCUCUCUUCGCGUGGUUUAUGAAAUGAAAAUCCUGUCAUCAUUUAUUCACCCUCAUGUCACUCAAAACCCAACAAAUUCUUUAUUCUGUAAAACACAAAAUGAGAUAUUUAGCAGUAUGUUCAUGCUGAUCAUUUCCAGCAAAUGCAUAUAGUGACCAUGGCAGUCAAAUUUCAGACCAUAAAAAUGCACCAUGAGAGAGUUUGAAAUGUAGACUUGUGCACUCUAUUUAAAGUCAUAUGAUAGAUUUGUAUUUUCGUUAUUGGCAUUUGUGUACAUUCAAAUCUUGCACAGGAAUAUUUUACACCAACAGGGACAUCAGUGAUGGUUAAAAAGUCAGGGUUACAAAUGUGUACUAAAACUAAAACUGUUAAAUAUUUUUGUUAGUUGAAAUAAAGCUGAAAUAAAAUAUAAAUUAUGAAUAUUAGAUGAAAAAUGUAUUAACUUAUUUCAAUUAAUUGCCAAAGUAAUUUUAAUUUAGUUUAUAUUAAAGCAAUGCAAUUAUUAUCUGGAAAAAAAAGGAAUAAAUCUAAUCUAAAUGAUUUGUAAAAUAAACAAAAACUAAUUUACAGAGGCACAUAAA